rnacentral:tRNA from 1 species
GAGGGUAACAGCUCAGUGGCAGAGUGGAUGCUUAGCAUGCAUGAGGUCCUGAGUUCAAUCCCCAAUACUUUCU